rnacentral:lncRNA from 1 species
CGCUAGCGUAACUCCCACAACCGCAACAGCCGCACCUUCAAGAGCAAAGAAGUUAAAAUGGAGUACAAUCAUAUGGGCAUUUGAAUAUAUUUUUGGUUUUUCGGUUCAUCCUCUGUACCUGCGAAAACAACGGUCUUCUUCUUCUUUUUGCAGUGUUUCCCAUGGCGACAUUUACCACCUAAUACAUGUAUGCCAAGAACUAAUCAAUCACAAUGAUCUGAUUCAAGAAAUUUGUUUUGAAUAGUUCACUUGUUAUGCAGUUUACUUACAUAUUGCGUUAACCGGAUCCCAUUCCAAACCUUUUUUGCAGGAGCAUCGUUUCAGGCCGAGACUCGUUGGAUCAGGCAAGCAUUUUGAUUUACCCAACAAGAGGUUACAAUCUACAUCAGUUUUGCAAACUGGUUCUUUAGGCAAUGCCCAUUGCAACUCGAGCCCCGUGUCAGGCCAUUUUUUCCCGGGAGGAGGAACCUCUUUGUUUGGAUUCAGCCCCACGAAGCUUUGGUACGC